CCCUUAGAUGUUCUGGGCUGCACGCGCGCUACACUGUCGGAUUCAGCGAGUCAUAUCCUUAACCGAGAGGUUUGGGUAAUCUUUUGAAAGUCCGACGUGAUGGGGAUUGAUCAUUGCAAUUAUUGAUCAUGAACGAGGAAUUCCUAGUAAGCGCGAGUCAUCAGCUCGCGUUGAUUACGUCCCUGCCCUUUGUACACACCGCCCGUCGCUACUACCGAUUGAAUGGUUUAGUGAGAUCUUCGGAUUGGCGCCUACGCGGCUUCUCUGAGGCCACGCUGGAUGCCGAAAAGUUGCUCAAACUGUAUCAUUUAGAGGAAGUAAAAGUCGUAACA
rnacentral:rRNA from 1 species